rnacentral:rRNA from 1 species
UACGUAGGUGGCAAGCGUUGUCCGGAUUUAUUGGGUUUAAAGGGUGCGUAGGCGGUUUUGUAAGUCAGUGGUGAAAUACUCUAGCUUAACUAGAGGGGUGCCAAUGAUACUGCGGAGCUUGAGUACAGAUGAGGUAGGCGGAAUUGACGGUGUAGCGGUGAAAUGCUUAGAUAUCGUCAAGAACACCGAUAGCGAAGGCAGCUUACUGGGCUGUAACUGACGCUGAGGCACGAAAGUGUGGGGAUCAAACAGG